AGUCUCUGGUUCUGGUAGCGAAGAUAACUUUGCGUCAGGAAGGGGCUGGGCCGGGAGCCCACAGCAGCGGUACUCAGAAAACUCGGACACAGAAACAGGCAAGUGCCCUGUAGCAAAUCCCUGUGCCAUCCUGCUUGGCUCCUUUGGACGUGGCUUUUUCUGGAAACUAUGUCCUCAGGCUGCCUGGCUCCCCUGCUCUCUGCACUGGGUUAAGCUAAAACAGGCCAAGAACAAAUGGAUUGGAAGACUGACUGUCUGCCCUUGUCUCUUACAGAAAAAAUAAUCUUGAAGAACAGUAAAAAUCAUCAUUGGAGAAUUAAAUGCUGAAGGCACCUUUGUUGAAAAAAAAAAGAAGUAAGGAGACAGCUGUUGAAAAUCCCAGCAUUUCACUUGGCCACUUCCCUUGGGAUCCAGCCCUCAUGCUGAGACCAUCUUUGAAAGAGGCAGAGACCAGACACACACCUCUUAU
rnacentral:lncRNA from 1 species